UGAUUUAUUUCUUAGGUGCCAUCCCCUAU
rnacentral:piRNA from 1 species